UGAGAAAAGCCAGCAAAAAGCGUUUUUAUUGCAAUCAUAAAACUUGAUACCUUUAGGCAGUGGAGAAGGAAGUGAACGGCGGCGAUUGCUCUUACCACGGCACCGGGCAGGGCUGGGGCAGCGGCGGGGGAAGCGAUGCAUGGCGUGAGAGCAGCCAAGCGGUGAUGACCAGCAUCAGGGGCAGGAGAACGGGCAGCUGCGCUCAGCCCAGGGGCAGCCAGGCUCUGAUGUUUCCUUCCCAUGGAGGGCACAGGGGACGGGGGUGUCUUCUUGCAAGCUCACCCCCCCCCCCUCCAGCUCCACCACCUCCCUUGUAGCACCUCCCAUUUGUCUGCUGUUUUCUUUUUCGUUUUAAAAGCAAAGAAAGCUCAAUGCAAGAGACUGAAUUUCCUGAGGGUGGGUGAGGCUCUGACGGCCCAACCGCCCCCACAAACCCAAAAGUGAGACGGCAGAGGGAGGAGGUGGGGGGACGGGGACUGAGCACCCCCAUCCCAGAGCAGCCCCGUGAUGCCGCGCUUCCCCCGGAGCGCAGGGAGACGAACGCUGCUCCCCCAGCACCCCGAUCCCAGGUAACCACACACAUCCUAACACUGCACUGUUCACAUCCAUUCAGCCUCGACAGCCUCACUCUGCUAUGGCUUUUGCAGCAGCAGCAAUGUCUGGUUUUAGAACACCGUAGAGAUCUGCACCAAAACAAGUAACUAACUAACAGGUUUCCUUUUGUUCAAAUGACUCCUAUCUAAGGUGAGCCCGUCUGCGUGCCACUGACAGAAUGCAGUCUACACCUGGAACAAAAAUAAGAUUAAGAACUUGACCCAAAAAGAGUUGAGGUUUACGGCGUAUAGUUUAAAAAGACAUAAAAACACGAUACAAGGAGGAAGAGUCAGACGCAAAGCUUAGUGACCAAAGGCAUUCAAUCAAGGUGUAAGGUUAUACAAUGAGUGUAGUGGACUAUCAGGAAAAGCUCCGUACAAAGUCAUGUGCACUCUUCUUGAAGCUGAGAUUCUGGAUUCCUCCAUGUGCCAAACCCGAGGACGGGGCGUUGGGGUGGGUCAUUCCAAUUUCAUGAGCUCCACGUCGAAGAUUAGAGUGGCGUUUGGUGGGAUGAUCCCUGGGUGGCCAGUGGAGCCAUAGGCAUAAUCUGGGGAGAUGGUCAUCUUCGCCCUCUGACCGACGCUCAUCUGAGCAACUCCUUCCUCCCAGCCGCGGAUCACCUCCUGUUUGCCCAUCACGAACUUGAAGGGUUUGUUCCUGUCGCGGGAGGAAUCGAACUUCUUCCCAUCCUCCAGCAUACCCGUGUAAUGCACCACGCACGUCUGGCCGCGUUUGGGGAACGUCCGCCCGUCGCCGGGGGCGAUGGUCUCCACGUGCACGCCCAUGUCGCCGGUGCCGCCGCCGGUGCCGGUCCGUGCGCGCCCGCAGCGCCCGCAGCCCGAGGGAGGGAGGGAGGAGGGGCCACGUGUGCGCAGCCUCCGCCGCCAUCGAGCCCGCCCGCCCGCCGCUGCCCGCCCGCCCGCCGCUGCCCGCCCCCCGCCCCGCCCCGCCCCGCGCCGCCAUCUUGCCCGCUCCCCCACCCCCCACCCCCACACACGCACUUCCCGCCCCGCCGCCAUCUUGGCACCGCGCGGUUGCUGUGGAAACCGCCGGGCCGUGAGGCGCCACGCGCGGUGCCCGCCCGUUGAGGCCGAAGGCCGCGCUUCGCCGUCCCGCAGCGCGGAGAUGCGGCCCUGAGGGACGCGGGCAGUGCGCGCCGUGCGGUGUCUCGGAGCUCCUUUCUAAGCUCCGUCACUCUGCGGGCCCACGGUUGACACCUCGUGAGCACCCGCGAGGCAGUAGAGGAGCCCCAGGGACGGCACGAGGCGAAUAAAACCUCGGGUUUUCGGCAUUAAAAUGGGACGCGAGGAGUGGAUAAUGGGAUGAAGCAAAUCUUAAUUGCUUCUGCUCCUUGCCUGUAUCCUUUAUACCGGAGCGCCGUGCUGUGGGGUGCUGUUUUCCUGCUUUAAGCCAUAUCGUUAUUUCUUGCGUUAAUCUGCAGUGCUCUGUGUGGUCUGUGAGGCUCCUCAGACGCCCCUUCCAUAGGGGAAGUGCACGAGGCCUCAGGUUGAGGUGGGAGGAAAUGAAGGGUGAGGACACGGGGCCUGCAGGCACCAUGGAAUCAUAGGGCAGCCCGGGCUGGAAGGGGCCCAUAAGGAUCACUGUGUGCAACUCCUGGCAUCGCUGGGUCCCAACCGCCCCUCAGACCCGGCUGUGGGCAAAAUGGGGUACACCCAAGAAACAUCCUUCAGAAAGCAGAAUAGGGAAUUGAAAGGGAGGGGGAAAGGAAGCUUUUGUGCUUCUGAGAGAUCCUUAGGGAUCCAGACUUCUGCAGCUGUCCUGCAGGUGCCCCAGUGCACCUCCAGCGCUCUCUCCCAUCCAUCUCUCCCAUCCAUUGUGAUGUUGCACUGCAAGGCGCAAGGUUUGCAUUAAUUCAGCACACAACCGGGGAGCGAUUUGCUCAGAUCCUGCCAGUGUGCACCAGGCUGGAGAGCUGCAAGGUCAACCAGCGGUCAUGCACGGCUCCAGCCCUAAAAAUAACCAGCUCCGGCGAGGCUGAGCGCAGCGGUGCUGCCGGCAGCAAUGGUCAGUCCCUCCUCUCCCUCGCUCGCUGUUGCCAAGAGAGAUGUGGGGGUGCUGAGAUCCUGCUGGGGGAGAUGGAGCUGUGGGGUGGGGUUAGGGAGCAGAUGAGCUGCUCUCAGUAUUCUGCCCUAACCUUCCAUCCUGGCACAAGCGGGGAUAAAUGAGAGCCCACAGCUGCCUCCCACCUUGUGCUGCAAGAGCUUUAUGCCCCAGGAUUGAACAUCACUCAUGUUCCAAGAAAUUCUAACCCUUCCCCCAGGAAAGGGCACUCUAAGCACAGAGAGACAUGCUAUCCAGGUAGCAUUUUCCCUAAAAAUCUGGGUUUCUCUGAAAAGUAACCCCUGUGUUCUUUGUGCACACGUGUUGGAGCAUUGCUGUGAAUCCGGAGGGGCACUGCUCUGCUGCACAGCAGAAAGGAGCAUGGCUCCUUUACCCAGAGCUGCUGGGACCUGCAGGAAGGCAGCAGUGCAGCACACAGCUCCCAGCGUAGGACAUGGAAACAGGAAACAACAGCUUUGCCGAUCUUCCCCUGUCAGGCACAUCCUGACAGCGCAGCAAAUCCAUGUCCGUCCUGGAGAACUCACCUUCUUCACCCCUGGAGCUGUUCUGGGCACACUGCUGACUUACAGCCACCCGUUGGCCUGGGUCCUUCUCCACAGAGCUCCUUUCCAGCAGCUCUGCCCUCAACCUGUACUGAUGUGUAUGGUUAUUCCUCUCCAGCUGCUAGACCCUACACUUGCUCUUGUUGAACCUCAUCAGGCUCCUCUCUGCCCAGCUCUCAGCCUACCCAGCUCCCGCUGAAUGGCAGCACAGCCUCCUGCUGAGUCAAAUACUCUUCCCAGCUUUGCAUCAUCCUUCCUUCUUCUGUUAAGCCCCGCUUUCGUGGUUCAUGUUCUUCAAUCUUAAAAUUUACAAGCUGCACCAGGCUUCAGGUAGCUGUGACGGCGGCAGCCCAAGCAGAGAGAAACUGCAAUAGCCAGCAUCCAGGGCAUCCCUAUGGACCAGCAAGGAAAGCACAAGGAACAUUUCAGUGCGCAACAAAAGGACCGAUGGCAAAACCUGUAUUUUACUUGGCCGUGGUUGGCUUUAGCAAACACUGUACCAAGCCCCAAGCAUCUGGCAAGCACCCAGCAGCAACCUCCAGGCAGGGGCCCAGCUCCUUCCUGCACACACAGGGAGCAGUGCCGCUGUGCCCUGCUUCGCCUGCCCUGCCCACGGCCGGAGCCAGGUCCCUGCACCGCAGAGCACCAUCCCCAUCCUGCAGCAUUAACCUUGCACCACUGCCGUGGAGCACUUUGGAGUACUGUUUGCACAGCAGUUCCAUUUCUAAAAUUACAAAAGCAUUUCUCUCGGUUUGAUGGCAGCUUUUGUUCCCUCGGCGCUCGCAGCAGGUAGAGCAGCACUCGGCACAUCUCUGCCCAUUCCACUGGAAAGUCAGCAACAGCAGCACAAGGCAGAGCCACGCUGUGACAGAGUGUUCUGAGUCACACGCUGCACACCCCCACAGUCCCGCUGAGCGCUGCGUGGGUGCAGGGCUGAGUGUGCACGUGGAGAACGCAGUCCCAUGAGGAUGCAGCAUCCUGGGAUGCUGACCCUACCCUGCUGCAGACCGCUGUCCUCUGCAGCAUUGCUCCAUCCUAUGCAGUUCAGCACCUUUACAGCCACCUGGAAGCACGGCUGUGUCCUUUGGUGGCACAUGGGGUGUUCCUCGCCCCAAGCACUGAUCAGAGCAGGAUGAGGUUUGACAAGGGAAGGUGCAAGGAGUUUGGAAGCCAGGGUGCAUGCAGUAGUGCAGGAUGACAGCUUGUGGGCUUUCUGCAGCCGCAUGGAGAAAUGCAGUACUCUGCAAACAUCACGACCAGGUCCAGUGCUUCAUCCCUGACCCCAGGCUGCUGUCACAUUGAGAUCUUCAGGGUAUGGUGCAGGAGGUAUUUAACCAAGCUACAAACCACUCCACCAACUGUAUGCAGAGCCAAAUGUGGGCAUGGAGGGCAGCUGGAGCCACCAGGGAGCAGGAUGAGGUGGGGGUUCUGCUGUGUGUAGCUGCCCCUCACCCCCAAGGGUUGCAGGAAGAACAGGAGCCCCGCUCUGGCUUCUUACCUGGGGCUGUGGAACCCCUGUCCCCAGCUUUGCCCUUUCCUUAAUGGGUGCAAGGUGUGGUGCUGCCCACGUCCAGGACACUGCUGCAGAGCAGGAGGUGUGGGAUGCAUUUUCCUUUCUCUAUUAAGCAAGAUCUAUAAUUAUAAACCUCUUUCAGUUUGUGAGAUGUCCCAUGGCAGUGCAGACCCCACGCAGUGUGUUUUAGCCCAGCCACAAGUAAUUUACCAUUCUGAGCCCCCUUCCACAGCCCUUUCCCAGCCCGCAGAGCCCAGCAGUCUCCAUGGCACAGCCACAAAUUGCUCCUCCAUUAGGAGCUGUGGGAGCCCGGCCGCUGCGUGGGAGCAGUUCCCAAGGCAGCAAUGCUCCCACCACACAGCUCCCAGCAAGCGAAGGCAGAAAGCAGCUGGAGGAGGCACACGGUGAUGGGCUGGCACUGAGGGGGCACGCGUGGUCUCAUCGCUCCACUCCAUAAUAAGGGGCCUUUAGGUCGGUCUCCAUCACUGCAUGUCAGAGCAGUGCACCCUCCCAGGGCACCUGGGAGCAUUCAACCUGUGCUGCCCCACACCCACACCUGUAAGCUGCAUCCCAGCACCAUCCAAAGUGCGUCAUCUCCUGCUCAGCCUCCCCUCGGCCAGUGGGGGUUAAUGAAGAAAUCCUGAAUCUCACAGACUGAGUCAGAACGCGGUUCAUAAGCCGCAGCACAACUGAGUCAGCGGCAUCUCUUUUCACUGUGAUUUUACUGACAUCUCCAAUCACAAAUACCGCUCACGCUGGACCACAGCCAGUGCAGUGGGAGCCAAAUCCCUGUCUCCCACCAGCGUAUCUAAGCACGCAUCUCUAUAAAAAAAGCAAAAUACAUCUCUCUGCACCCAAGAGGAAAGGGGAAGCUCAGAAGGAAACAUAAAACCUUGGCUUUCCAUUUUUUUCUGGGUCAUUUUGUACCCGCUCAGCAUGCCGUGCUGCAUUUGGGCAGACACGAGGCACCUUUUGAAACGGCACUCAGCCCUCCGGCUCUUUUGCACUCAUGUACUCUCCAGGUGCAAAUAGCUGCAUUUUACCUGUGCAUGCGCUAGAAAGUCAACGGAUGACCAACAGCCACUUCCCGAAGCAGCUGUGUCUAUUGCUCCAUGGCUGUUUCAGAGCACAAUUCUCUCCAGUGCAGGAAAAGCUUUAUUUGUGCUCUGCUCACCUCCUCCUCAAGCCCUUGUUUUUUUGCAUUGCUCAGUGCCUUGUGCAAGCCAGCAUUCCCCGUGAGGUCUAGACAGGAUGUCCCGAUGGCUGCUGCAGCACGGGGAGCGCGCAUCCUGCUCUGUGUGAGCUCAGCCUGGUGCCAGGGGGACGGCUUUCAGCCAACGGCACUGAUCUCCCUGGCUGCUAAAGCAGGCUGGCAAUGAGCUUUCUAAGAACACCGCACAAGAUCUAACCAAAGCAGCACGUCAAGGAGCAAGAGGAUGAUGCCUCUUCUGUCUCCGUGCUGUUCUUUUGCUAACGGUUGCUUAGAAAUAGGUAGGAAGAGAACACAGCAGUGCUGUGUCUAUCCCCAUUAUUCUGUUUCAUGACUACUCUGAGCCUUUUGCUAAGAGAAGCCAAAGCUCUGCAGCCUAAGAAACAAUGUCAUGUUGGAAAUUAUCACAAAGGAAAGUUCCUUUCCUGAGAACCUCAUUUCCCAGUGCAGCAACACGAGGCCUUAUCUCUGAAGGCAGCCCAAGGCCCAGGAAUGCAUGCUUCAAGCAGCUCCAGUGCAAGGCACUUCCUGCAGGGCACUAUGACCAACAGAGGAAGGCAGCCCCACUGAAAUAAAAUCCAAAGCCUGCAGAUGGGAAUUCUUUGGCAGAGAAGCUGAUGGCAGCAGUUGGAUGUGUUCCACUGGCAAGUGUUCUGCAGGCCCCCCUCCAGCUGCUCUCACCACCCAGCACAGCUGCUCCUCUGGGGGGUAUGGAGCUGCUGCGGCCAUCGCCACGCUACGUAGGACAGGAGAAGGGCUGCUGCCUCUGUGAGCUGGCCAGAAGUUAAUGUCAUGAAGAAUAAUGAAAUGUACCUGAAUAAAUAAGAAUGUAUGGAAUCUAUUGAGGUUGGAAAAGGCCUCUCAGAUCCCCAGGUCCAACCCCAGCCCACCUCUCUGGGCCCACUGUCCCUCAGUGCCACAUCUGUACAGUUCUGGAGCUCACCUGAAUGGUGCUAUGUGUUUGAGAUACGAGCACCAGUAUGAACGCCCAGGCUGGUAGGAAAAGUAACCUUGUUGUGCCACAAAAUCUCCCCUUUGAAAUCGCCCAUCUCCAGCUGUAAGCAUUCUGGCUCACCAACAGAAAGGAGACCGUUUGCGGGAGGGAUGGGAUAGCACCAUCUCGCUUUCCAAACUCAGCAAUAGGACACAAUUGCUACCCACUGCUGCCCCAGGCUCCAAUGCAAGUAUCACAGCCUCCCCCGUGGUGGUGGGCUUUGAGGAAAGCCCUGUAGAUCAGCUUUUAUGUGACUGCAGCACCAAUCCCCCAAGCCAGUUCUCCACGGUAACUACAUCCAAGAAGCAUCAGCUCAAGGUCCUUGUUCUUGAUAACAAAGGAUGGAAAGCAGUGCUGCUUUCAAAGGAAAGCACUCCCAACUGAACAUCCGAAGUCACCCCAGGAGCACCUGAUGUCCUUUUAAUCACAGCUCCAAAUGAAUGCAGCGGGGAUCUGCAGACCCACCCAAUGGUUAUCAUUGCAUGAAGGUUGUGUCCUCCUCCUGCAGAGAUUUAGUGGCAUCCAGCAUUGGGGAGCCAAGAUUCAAUUACUGAUUAGAAACAAAGGCAACAAGAAUAUAUAUGAUGUAUAUAUAGAUGUACAGACGCCCUUUUCAAGCUGUGGGUGUGCCUGCUGGGACUUCUUGCUCCCUAUCUCCUGUCACUGCUUUCAUUUCCCAUAGCAGCUGAGCUGCCUGAGCUCUGUGCUGACACAAGGCAAGCAAGCAGCGACCGGAGCUGUGAAUGGUUCACCCAAACCAGCAGUGGGAAGCACAGCAAUACCUAGAAAUUGCAGUACCCGCACCUGGAAAUGGGUGUGCCUACACCUAGAUAUGGGUACGCCUACACCACGGCACUGAAGCACUCCCGGAGCAGAAGCACUGGAAGAGCAGAACCUCCGGGUCUGGCAGGAAAUGUGGAGCAGGAAACAUCUAACAGCAAACACAGCGUUACAGAGAGCAGGCUCAGAUCCCAGGAAGUGCAAAGCGGCUUUGGAGAGGAAAUGCAAUCAGAAGGCACUUUUGUGGGACUUGGCAAUGCAGACACGUGAAAAGGAAGAGGAGGAAACAACAAAUUACGUAGGAUGGGGAAGAACAAAAAAAGGAGGAAGUCCUACAGAUACCAGCCGGAGGAAGGGAAAGUCGCUCAAACACAGCAUUCUGUGAAAAGCUAAGUUACAGAGAAAGACAUCAGAGCACAGUCAUAAAGAUGAGCUGCAUCUGCCAUGGAAAUUGAAAAGAAGCAAAUUUCCACGUGAAACACAGAGCUCUGCCUCAACGUGGAGAUGUGGAAGUCUGCAAAGACGCAGAAAGAAGUCCUUUGUGGGGAGAGGAAUGAGAAAAAAGAUCCCAGAGCGAAACAGUCCUUGGAGCAACGCGGAGCCCCGGGCAGAGGGGGAACGCAGCUCCUGCUCCGGCCUCGGCUGCACUGCCACCAUCCGGCCCCCAGGGAAAAGGCUCCACUGGGCCGGGAGCCCUCUGGGGAGGCGCACGUUGGAUAUUCGGAACAGUCUCUUGUCUGAAUUCCCUCGCGCUGGGUCCCUUGGGUGACUCAGUGGUCACGAUGGAGCACGUCCAGUGCUGCCGGUUGGGGAAGCUCACGUUCACCUGCCAGAAAACAGCUUAUAGAACAACCCCAAGGCUUUUAAUUGCAUUCAGCUGAAGGCAUCUCCACGCUGGGAAGGCUGCUAGCUGGGAAACCCAAAGCUGUAAGAGUAGAUGGCAGCACACACAUCAUCCAAAACAAGAACAGAUGGUAGCCACCGUUAGAAAGGGUCAGAUGCUGUUUUCCUGUUUUCCGGGCCUUUAAUGGUUGUUUUCACAAUAAUUUACAAAUAUGCUGUUACGCACGCUAUAUGUCCACUUAGUAAUGAAAAAUCUAUGUUAAUUCAACUUGCUAUAGAAAAGCCCUUGCUGAGCUCUGCUCCAGUUCUGCAUUAGUACACCCAGCCAAGCGAGUUUCUCAUGCUGAACCUGCCCAACCUGCCAGUCCUCCCCAGCUGCAUGCACCCUGAGCUCACUCUGCUCACAGCAAGGCGAGGACCUGAAGCUGAAGCACAAGAUGUGCUCCCAGCACGGCAACCACACAGCUCCCAGCUGAUGGAGGCAGGGGACAAGCAGGACUGCACCACAGCUGCAACCCAACCUUUUCCAAAGGACAAUGCAAAUACAAAUUCUAAAGUUCUGCUCCAAAGCACAGGGCUGGGAUAGAAAGCGUGUUGCAGAUCAGUGAGAAGUGCCGUGGCACAACACUAGAUGGCAACUUGCACACGCAGUGCUGUACCAGCACUAUCAGACCCUUGUUCAUGAGCAGUGAAUUCACCCACAGCAUUCUGUCCAAAGGAAAGAAAUGGAGACCUGAGUCCUAAACAGUGGACAGACCAAAACUGGAGCAUUCCAGGUGUUCCCUUAUGUGGUCCUCAGCAAAGGAAAUAAAUCAAAGGGUACUACAGCCUCAAAUUUUUCACCUGAACAGUUUUCAACACUCAAUAACUCAUCUUAAAAUAAAAUCUGCUUUCCAGUAAGGUACUGUUUGCCUUGUAGUUUCAGUCAUUUCAAGCUGAUUCAGCUUUGUGCCUUCCUUAGAACAAAAAAAAAUCAGCAGGAAGUUGGGUUUCUCAAAGAAAUGCAAUACAGCAAAUUAAAACUGCAGUCAGUCAGUCUGGACUGCAGGAGAAAGUGCUGGCAGAGCAGGUGGGAAUUGUAACAAACACCGUAAGUGUUCUGCUGAAGGAAGGAACAUCAGGACUUUCCCUCCAGAACAGCCCAGUGCUGCUAACCUUUGCACCUGCACACACACAGAUCAGUUUUCCCCACACUGAGCAACAACUGUUUCACAAAG
rnacentral:lncRNA from 1 species